rnacentral:lncRNA from 1 species
UAAAGUUUACUACGUGAUUUUGUUUUAAUUUUGUUUCAGAGAGUAGAGCUAUGUCUGGAUUUUGCAUCUUUAGUAUGUUUGUUAUCGAAGAUCUCUUUGCUUUCUCAACUAAUUGUGUAAGAUUGUUUAUUUGUUCCUGUUGCUUUUGUAGAAGUGUCAUUACUUGAGUUUUAAACAUGUUUAUGAUAUCAUUGAUACUAGACGCUAAUGGUGCAUUUAGAGAUGUAUUUUCUGCAGGUUAAGGAGUAUUGGGCAACCACGAUAGGAUGCUGGAUGGCCGUAACUUUGAUAGUUUGCGCAAUAUAAUUGAGUCUUAUCCUGUAUACUAUUUGGAGAUAACUUACAUUCUGGGACAUGCGAAUCCUUCUAAUUUACGCACCUAUAUUUGAGGUUGCAGUUGGAUGCUACGUGCCCUAAUCGUUGGCACCUUUUGCAUUGUAUAAUGUUUUUGUUUUUUAAUUUAUCCCACGAUAUAACGUGAUGACAUAGUCUAUUUAUUUUGAGAAGAUUGUGUAUUUUACUUCCUGCCUCCAACUGAACCAAAAAGAUAGGUAAUUGGAUAUUCUCGCUUACGGAUCUUUUUGUCUUAAAGAGUGUGACUUUAUGAAAGCCUAUGCCUUCGAUCUUUAACGAUUUUAAUUCGUUCAGAAUUUGUUGGGGGUCGUACGAGUGAUGUAAUCCCUUUAAUAGAACUGAGAUAACUUUGUCUUUUUUUGGUGUGAAAGUAUAAAAACAUGUAUCUACCGAUUCUAAUAAUUUUUUAGCUUUAUGAAAUCUGUUAGCGAGAACAUCUGUAAUAUAUGUUUAUUAUUAUUUAUACGUUUAAUUGUAAAAUUUGCCUGUUUUAUUUGGUUAGAUAUAAGCCUUUCCUUUGUCCUAUGUCCUUUGGGUUUUGAUAGAUAAUGUUGAGCAGAGGUGGCUUUUCUUCUUUUUUUUUAUCCUUUCCUUUUUCCGAUUCUUGUUGUCUUCUCCGUAUAUUUUUAUAUUAGAGGGCCCUGGAUGGACGUUUGUUCCUUCUUGUGAUGUGUUGUUGUGGUAAGAUUUAUCCUUGAUAUUGGGGGCUUCAGUAAUCGGAUGAGUACGUCUAUUCCGAUUUUUUAAAUCUUCUAUGAAGCUAUUGUUGUCGUUAGCAUCAGUAUCUGUUUCCAUUAAGUCCGUAAUUUCAUUAAGAGGUGUGUAUUUAUUCAUCGUUUGUUUCAGGCGUACAUUAUAGGCUGGCGUAUUUUCGAUUUAGAGAUCGAUUUGUGCUUGUACGUCCUCUUUUAAGGGUAUAUUAUUAAUCAUUAUAGUGCUUUUUAUGGGCUGUAUGUUUUCUUUGUUCGAGUCAUUUGCAUGUUGGCUUUCUUUCUUCAUUUUAACUAAAGUAAUAUUUGGACGCAGAUUUCUACUUUUUUGUUUCUUUAUUAGUUGCUGACGUAGCUUUCUUAGCGAGGCACUGUUUGUAUUUGUUGCAUUAUACUUUACUGUAUCAAACUGAUUGUUUAUAAUGGUCUUUUUUAGCGACGAAGUUAUGUCGUUUUCGUCUAUCGUUUUGGAUUCCUUAGUGGUGUUAAUUUUUUCACCACUUAACUUAUUUGGUGACUUUUCUGUAAUAGGAGACAACUUUAUUUUGUUUUGUUAUAUUACUUUGUAACUUUUAGGUUUAUUUUUAUGAUUUUAGCGCCUAAUUGAUUUCGCCAGCGAUACUCUCUCCUCCUCCUUUCCCUCUCUUUGUCUCUAACAUUCUGUAUCUAUGCAAACAUAAAAAUAUGUAAAUGUCUUGAAAUUAUCGCUAUUAUCACGGUAUUCCCUUUGUUUGUAAAUGGUCUUUUUUAGCGACGAGGUUAUGUCGUUUUCGUCUAUCGUUUUGGAUUCCUUAGUGGUGUUAAUUUUUUCACCACUUAACUUAUUUGGUGACUUUUUUGUAAUGGGAGACAACUUUAUUUUGUUUUGUUAUAUUACUUUGUAACUUUUAGGUUUAUUUUUAUGAUUUUAGCGACUAAUUGAUUUCGCCGAUACUCUCUCCUCCCCCUUCCCCUCUCUUUCUCUCUAACAUUCUGUAUCUAUGCAAACAUAAAAAUAUGUAAACGUUUUGAAAUUAUCGCUAUUAUCACGGUAUUCCCUUUGUUUGUAAAUCGCUACUAACUAUUACCAUUGCAUUUAUAUUCUUCACUGAAGUAUGUCGUGCAAAUAAAUAUAGAUAAAUUUCUUAUAUACACAUAAAAUCUUUACCUU